GCUGCUAAGGCCUUGCUGCUGCCAACCAGGCGCUUCUCUCCUUCUGUCCCGCAGUUCUCUCCACCCUUUCUUGGGACGGCCGGCUUUAAGAAUCCCUGCUACGACAUUCUAUUCGGCCAGGAGGUGACUCCAAAGGCAGUCACAAACCAUGCCACUGGUGAAGAGGUAUAUUGAGCCCUGACUGUUCCAGUGAGUUAUUACAGAAUUGGGAGAGUCUCAAAUCAGCAUCCUACACGUGAUUAUCAAACCAUUGUGAAGUCUUGGCUGGAUUAAUGAAGGAUAUCUUUGGAAAGUGUUUUAGAGUCCACCAGAUCUUCCAUGUGAGUGACCACACAGCAGAAGAGGGGAAUCCUCUCAGUGAUUAAGAAGUUGCAGUUGCAAAUGCCUGCAGGAGCCAGAUGCUGUAAAUGUGAAACAUGGUAUGUAGCACUACCUGUCCAACUUGGCCAGGGGCGUGGCUGUUUCCCUUGGGCAGUGUUUAAAACUGGCCCACAGUUUUGAAUGCAGUUGUAUAAACCAGAAUGGAAUAAAUUAGAAAAGACUAGAUUAAGACGGAAUAUAGAUAAGAAAACAGGAAAAUACUAGCCUCCAUCUGGCAAAGGACAUAGGAGCCAUAAAAUAAGAUUCAUAAGUGCAGCUACAUAAAAUGAAAUAGUUCAUGGCAAAAAGCACUGCAUGAAGUCAGAAGAGAAAUGAGAUAUCCGAAAAAAUAUUUGCAACACAUAUUAAUGGAUAAAAUGCUUCUAACAAGUAAAGAAAAUCAAAAGACCCUAGAUGAGCAACAGGCAUGAACAGACAGAAAAACAAAUGGCAUUUAAACAUGUGAAAGAAUGCUCAAGCUCACUUAUAAAGAGAAAUGCAAAAUCUGCAGAAGGUUAAUAUUUGAGAACUUUGCUGGAAGGAUUGGGAAAACUGACACUUAUAGAAAGUUAGAGUGCAAAACAAUAUGAUACUUAGGAAGAGUGCUUUAGAGAAAUUUAUCAAAAUUAUAGUUGCCUUUAUUGUAAAUGGGAGACAAAUUGCAUAUGUAACAUUGCAGAAUGUUAUAUAAUAGCAAGAGACUGGAAACAACCCAGGGGUCGGUUAAUAAUGGACUGGAUAAACUUGUGCAUUCCCACAAUGGGAUACUAGAAUGUUGUAAAAAUGGAUGAGGAAGCAGUCUAUGCAAUGAAAGAAAAUUUCAAGGAUAUAUUAAGUGACAAAAGUUAGGUGUGUAA